rnacentral:rRNA from 1 species
AUUGAACGCUGGCGGCAGGCUUAACACAUGCAAGUCGAACGAGUGGCGGACGGGUGAGUAAUGCUUGGGAAUCUGGCUUAUGGAGGGGGAUAACGACGGGAAACUGUCGCUAAUACCGCAUACUAUCAGAUGAGCCUAGGUCGGAUUAGCUAGUUGGUGGGGUAAAGGCCUACCAAGGCGACGAUCCGUAACUGGUCUGAGAGGAUGAUCAGUCAAACUGGAACGGAGACACGGUCCAGACGCCUACGGGAGGCAGCAGUGGGGAAUAUUGGACAAUGGGCGAAAGCUGAUCCAGCCAUGCCGCGUGAAUGAAGAAGGCCUUCGGGUUGUAAAGUUCUUUCGGUGACGAGGCGUUAAUCACAGAAGAAGCACCGGCUAACUCCGUGCCAGCCGCCGCGGUAAUAC